rnacentral:rRNA from 1 species
AAGAACCUACGGGAGGCAGCAGUGGGGAAUAUUGCACAAUGGGGGAAACCCUGAUGCAGCAACGCCGCGUGAAGGAAGAAGGGUUUCGGCUCGUAAACUUCUAUCAACAGGGACGAAAGAAAUGACGGUACCUGAAUAAGAAGCCCCGGCUAACUACGUGCCAGCAGCCGCGGUAAUACGUAGGGGGCAAGCGUUAUCCGGAAUUACUGGGUGUAAAGGGUGAGUAGGCGGCAUGGUAAGCCAGAUGUGAAAGCCUUGGGCUUAACCCGCGGAUUGCAUUUGGAACUAUCAAGCUAGAGGACAGG